CUGAUCAUAAUCCUAUUAUGCUAACAUGUGGUGGUUGGGAAUGGAAAAAAUCUUAUUUUAAAUUUGAAUCUUGGUGGUUGGAGAUAAUACAGGAACACAUAGUGCUUACUGAUGAUGAAAUCUUACAGAAGUCAAAUCUGGGCAUGGAGUUUGAAGAGAUAUCCAAGAAAGAGGAGACACCAUGGCAACAAAGAUUCCGGGUUCAAUGGUUGAAUUAUGGAGACAAGAAUACAAUUUUUUCCCAUAGAAUUUCCACUUAUAAGAGGUUCAAUACAAUGGAACAACUUGAUGUAGAAGAUAACAUUGUUAAAGAUCCAGCUAUGAUCAAG
rnacentral:misc_RNA from 1 species